rnacentral:rRNA from 1 species
UACAGAGGGGGCAAGCGUUGUUCGGAAUUACUGGGCGUAAAGGGCGCGUAGGCGGCCGCCUAAGUCAGACGUGAAAUCCCUCGGCUCAACCUGGGAACUGCGUCUGAUACUGGAUGGCUUGAAUCCGGGAGAGGGAUGCAGAAUUCCAGGUGUAGCGGUGAAAUGCGUAGAUAUCUGGAGGAAUACCGGUGGCGAAGGCGGCAUCCUGGACCGGCAUUGACGCUGAGGAGCGAAAGCUAGGGGAGCAAACGGG